GGACUACCGGGGUAUCUAAUCCUGUUUGCUCCCCACGCUUUCGCCCAUCAGCGUCAGUACUGGCCCAGAGUGCCGCCUUCGCCACCGGUGUUCUUCCUGAUAUCUAUGCAUUUCACCGCUACACCAGGAGUUCCGCACUCCCCUACCAGACUCAAGCCAUGGCAGUAUCGGGUGGCGUCCCCAGGUUGAGCCUGGGGUUUUCACACCCGACUUACCGAGCCGCCUACGGGCCCUUUACGCCCAAUAAAUCCGGACAACGCUCGGACCCUACGUGUUACCGCGGCGGCUGGCAC
rnacentral:rRNA from 1 species